CUCAGAGUUUAAAACCUUGGUCAAGUGGUCCCUGGUCAAAAAGGGUUGGGAACCACUGUUCUAGAUGAUGUAGACCAGGGAAGAAUGAUUUGAUCUUGUGAAAAAUUCAGGAUUUCUUUAAUAUUGGAAACAUGAUCCCACUGAAAACUUUUUGUUCUAGAUGCAAGCAAGUGUGAACAUGUGUGUCUGUCUGUCAGUCUGCGAAUGAAGAUGUGAAGAAAAGCGAGACCAAAGAUUUCAAUCCAGCCCUGUUUCCAGCACCAUUUUCAUUUCAGAUUGCGGCCCACAGCUGAAGAGUAGACGACUUUAUUAGGAGCAAAUGGCACAGCGGUCUGCUGAUGGGGGAAAUCGUGCUUCCUGACAUUUAUAGAUAUUUCUCAGCGAGAUACGGCAGAAUAUUGGGGGAAAUGAAACAGAUUACAUAAAGAAGAUAUCCAAGCCGCCGCUCACCUUGAUGCCCUCUCCGCGGUCUCUGAUGGUUCCCCGGCCUCCGCCUCCUUCCCGGCACACAGCCAUUCACACACAGACUUUCUCGUUCGAUGGCAGAUUGUAAUUUUUGGGCGCUAAUCACACGGCGGCUUUGGGAUGACAGGAAGGGUCAUCGAAUCUGCACCGUCUUCUCCUCAGAACUGCUGCUUUUCACUUUGAAGAUUGAUGUCAUUCGUCAUCCAGAAAUACACCCUUAUUAAUUAAUACGA